rnacentral:lncRNA from 1 species
GGCAAUAUUUUGAUAUGUAUAUAUCCAAAACAAGUAACGAUAAAAUAAACUUGGAUUUUAAUUUGCUAAUUUUCAGGCAUGAGAUUGUGGGGGAAGUGACAGAAGUGGGAAGCAAGGUGAAUAAAGUGAAAAUAGGAGACAAAGUGGGUGUAGGUUGCAUGGUUGGUGCUUGCCAUGCCUGCGAGAGCUGUAACAGCAAUCUUGAAAACUACUGCCCCAAAAUGAUUCUUACCUAAAAUUCCCUUUACCCCGACGGAACUGUCACAUAUGGAGGUUACUCGGACACAAUGGUCGCCAAUGAGCGCUACAUUGUUCAUUUCCCCGAGAACCUGCCACUUGAUGCUGGUGCUCCUCUACUAUGUGCUGGGAUCACAGUGUAUAGUCCCCUGAGAUAUUUUGGCUUAUCUGAGCCUGGUAAGCAUGUUGGCAUUGUAGGCCUUGGCGGGCUUGCUCACACCGGUGUGAAAUUUGCCAAGGCGUUUGGGUCAAAAGUGUCUGUGAUUAGUACCUCCCCUGGCAAGAAAGAUGAAGCUCUGAAGAAACUUGGGGCUGAUUCAUGUUGGAGAACAAUUCAGAAAUAAACAAUAUAACAGAAAUAAACAGAACUUGAAAUUCACAAUUUUAUUUCACAAAAAGUACUUGCUAUACAGAAUGAAAAGUAUACAAUAAAUACAUAAAUUAAUAUAAGAAUAUCAACAGUACUAACUUGAUUACAGAAGGUAGAGGUUAGCGUAAAAGCUAUGUCAUUCGAACAGUAAUUCCGUCCCACUCUUGUGCUUGUGGUUCUAUAACGUCUGCUCGACCAGGAUACAACUACCUAAUCCUACAACCCGCAUUGGAUUAUAGAAUUCUAGCGAAUUGCUUUGUGUGUUUACUCUCUCUGGAAAGUUUGUACGGAAGAAAAGGAAGAAGAAAAGAUGAAAAAUGAUGAACUGAGGACUCCAGUUAUAUAGGCUCUUUCAUACCUCUUCAAAUACCUUUUGGAUGUAUCUGAAGCUUUACAACUCUCUACAAAAGGUUGUAUCUUUAAUCAAAACGUUUUUAAUUAAUUUAAUUAAAAACUUAAUUCGAAAUUAAAACUAAUUGAUCAGAUUAAUUUUAAUUCUUAGGCCCUUGUCUUGAUUAAUUAAUAUUAAUAUUAUGGUAUAAUCAUCAAGCCCAAUCCACAGAAUGGUGGCCCAAGCCUCAAUUCCCAUUCCAAGGGGUCCAACACAUAACUAAUAUUGUAGAAGACAAAACAUAUAUAAAGGUACUUUGGAAUCUUGUUU